rnacentral:rRNA from 1 species
GACGAACGCUGGCGGCGUGCUUAACACAUGCAAGUCGAACGGAAAGGCCCUUCGGGGUACUCGAGUGGCGAACGGGUGAGUAACACGUGGGUGAUCUGCCCUGCACUUUGGGAUAAGCCUGGGAAACUGGGUCUAAUACCGAAUAGGACCACGCGCUGCAUGGUGUGUGGUGGAAAGCUUUUGCGGUGUGGGAUGGGCCCGCGGCCUAUCAGCUUGUUGGUGGGGUAAUGGCCUACCAAGGCGACGACGGGUAGCCGGCAUGAGAGGGUGACCGGCCACAAUGGGACUGAGAUACGGCGCAGACUGCUACGGGAGGCAGCAGUGGGGAAUAUUGCACAAUGGGGGCAAGCCUGAUGCAGAGACGCCGCGUGAGGGAUGACGGCCUUCGGGUUGUAAACCUCUUUAAAUAGGGACGAAGCGCAAGUGACGGUACCUAUAGAAGAAGCACCGGCCAACUACGUG